UUUCAAAGGAAGGUGAGAAUUAAGUCAAGUCACUGUGGCCCUUAUGGGUUGGGCUACACACGUGCUACAAUGAAAAUGACAAAAAGUAACAAAAAUAAAAAUUUUUAGUUAAUCUUUAAAAAUUUUCCUAGUUCGGAUUGUAAACUGCAACUCGUUUACAUGAAGGUGGAAUCACAAGUAAUCGCAAAUCAGAACGUUGCGGUGAAUACGUACCUUGGCUUUGUACACACCGCCCGUCACAUGCAGAAA
rnacentral:rRNA from 1 species